rnacentral:rRNA from 1 species
CUGAACCAGCCAAGUAGCGUGAAGGAUGACUGCCCUAUGGGUUGUAAACUUCUUUUAUACGGGAAUAAAGUGAGGCACGUGUGCCUUUUUGUAUGUACCGUAUGAAUAAGGAUCGGCUAACUCCGUGCCGGCAGCCGCGGUAAUACGGAGGAUCCGAGCGUUAUCCGGAUUUAUUGGGUUUAAAGGGAGCGUAGGUGGACUGGUAAGUCAGUUGGGAAAGUUUGCGG